AGCAAUAAUGAGAGACAUAAACAUCAACAAACACAGGGAGGGUAGAGUGAGGAGAGGCUUUCUCAGCUCUUACAGUGGUAGAAUCUCCAUUUCAAUUGUUCCAAAGGAUCAUGUGGCCAGAUGGAAAAAAAGGAUUUUUAAAAUAUUGGUUGCACAACGACAUAGCCUCUACCUAGAAAAGUCACAAGGCACUUCAAUUUCAUUCCAUUUAUUCAGAAAGCUUGCAGGAAACAAAGCAUCCGCCCAACGCUGCUGCUGGCCCUUUGCCACCACCUGAAGUUCAGAAUGAGGUAGGAAAUAUCAUUAUCUAGAGACCAUAAUCAGUAAAAUAGUGGUUAUUUUAAAAUACUGGUUGUUUUAAAGAUGCCUGAAAUACAGCAGAUAUUCACUGCCUACAUAAUAAAUGAGUUAUGGAAGGCUAUCACUAUGAACUUUGUUUAACUGAUAAAUUAAGCUUUGUCUUUGACACUUAAAUAUUGCCAAACCAGUUCAAAAUCAGCUAUUUUUCCCUUGCUUAUCAUGUCAUGAAGUUUCUUAUUUUUGAUGUUUUAAAAUCAAUAUAUUCUCCUCAUAAAAUAAUUAUAACUAUACUUAUUACUUAGGCAAAACUAAAAUUAAAUGCUUUAGAAAUUUUUGUAAAGUUAUUUUAUUAUUUCAAUAGCUUUUUCCAGAAAUAAAAUACAAAGAUGCUAGCAAAAUGGUUUCUGAACUACAUAGAUGGAUUCCUUAGGGUCUAUUUUAAUCUCCCUAAUCCAUUCACGGGUAUAAACACAAAUGGGCACAUUACACCAGACAAUUCAAGAAAUAAAUGGGGCCUGUACUGCGUGUGUAGUAAACAAAACAAGGAGCACUGGUUCUUGCUGCUCCCAUGUGCCUGCCCCUACACCCUGUGCAGGACAAUCUUCUGGGAUGGUGGCCUGCACCUGCUCAGAUGGGUACAGUGACACAGAAUGCAAAUUUAGAGACACCCUCUUGACCAUAAAUGCAAGUUUCCUCUUCAGAGCUGGUGGAAGGAAUGGAGCUGUUGGUCACAGGAACUUAUUGAGUCAUACACAAAAUACUUACCUAAUGUCCAGCAGCCAACUUCAUUUGAGGGGGAAAGAUACCAAACCUGAAUUGCUGUCUUCCCAGCAAUUGUAGAGCCUCCUCAUCAAAGAUACCCCACAUCCAUUCCAGAAAGCUUGUUGCUGUCUCGUUUGCCAUGAGACUAUUUUGUCAGCAGUAAAAGCUUUAUCUAUCUAUCUAUCUAUCUAUCUAUUUAUCUAUUUAUUUAUUUACAACUCUCUCAGAGAAGAGGGAUGCUUUGAUAUUCUUGCUCUAUCCUCUUUAGGGAACAUGUUUUGUCAUAUUUUGGAAUAAACCACCUUUUAGGUCUAGGUUAUGAUGUUCAGGAGAACAUCUUCUUAUUGUGUGGAUUGAAACAUGCUAAAUCAAAACUUACUCAAUAUUUUUAGUAUUAUUAUUAGAGCUUUAAGAUUAUACAUAGUAUUUGGGUUCAUCCUAAUAAACUCAUACAUGUAUGGAUAUGGAUUUUGGUUCAUGAUCCUCCCCUUUCCCUUUACAUUCUUCUUCCUGUCCUCUCUCUCCUUCUCCUCCUUCUUUUAGACUUCCUUUUGCUCUUCUAUUAAUUUGUAUUUGAUUGGUUCCUUAUAUAAUUGUAUCCUUACCACCCCCUUUCCUUUAUUUUACUCUGUCUUCCACAUAUAAGAGAAAACAUUCAACCUAUGAGUUUCUGACUUUGGCUAAUUUCACUCAGCAUGAUAUUCUCCAUUUCUAUUCAUUACCAUGAAAAGCAAUCAUUUAAUUCUUUUUAAUGGCUGAGUAGAACUCCAUCAUAUACAAAUACCACAAUUUCUUAAUUCAUUCAUCUAUCGAUGGGCAUCUGUGUUGAUUCCAUAAUUUAUGUAUUGUGAAUUGUGCUGCUAUAAACACUGAUUUUGCUGUGUUGCUCUAGUAUGCUGAUUUUAGGUCUUUUGCGAAAAUACCCAGGAGUUGGAUAUCAGUCAUAUGAUGGUUCCAUUCCUAGUUAUUUGAGGAAUCUCCAUACUGCUUUCUAAAGUAUUUCUACUAAUUUGCAGUCACACAAAAAUAUGAAUGUACAUUUUUCCCCACAACCUGGCCAGUGUUUAUCAUUAGUAUUCUUGAUUAUUUUCAUUAUGACGGGAGGGAGAUGAAAUCUCAGUGUGGUUUUGAUUUCUAUUUCCUUGAUUGCUAGAGAUGUGAAUCUUUUUCAUGUAUUUAUUGUUCUUUUUCAUUUCUUCUAUUGAGAAGUUUCUGUUUGGCUCUUUUGUCCGUUCAUUCAUUAAGUUAUAUGUUGUUUGUUUGUUUGUUAAGAGUUUUAAAUACUUUGUAUACUCUGGAUUUUUCUUUAGGCUCUCUCUUCAAUAUUUAAAUGUGAACACAUUGGUUCUAUCAAUUCUAGAGUACACACAAAAUACUUAUGAGAAAUAUCAGUGUACAAAUUUGUGAAAGUAAAUUUAAUAACUGUAAUUUGUUAUUUGUUUAUCAUUUGUUCAUCAGGCUGAGGUUACCCAAUCUAAAAACUGUUCUCAUAAAAUUACAUCAUAAUUUCAUCAUUGAGAAAAUGAGUAAAUGAAGUGAAGAUAUCAAGAAACAGCCUCACAAUGUUGGUAACAGAGUGGACAACAUGGUGAAUAAGGCCCUGGGACACAGUGAUGCUCAAUAAAAAACAGAGAUUAUUGCUUCAAAAAACUCAUGUCAUUUAUCUAUUCAUACAUCAACUUUUGUAUUCAUUCAUUUAUUUAAUAGAUAGUGGUCUAAUUGUAUAAGUGAUUAUCUUUCUAAGUGCUAGAAUUCAGCAGCCAAUGAAACCUGCCUUCAUUUAUCUAGAGUGGCACAGGGGUGAUAAAAGAGAGUAUUAAAUAUUUAUUGCAAUUAGUUCUUAGAGGAGUAGAAGUGAGUUUGGGGGUUUAAAAUGGCAAGUGUAAAGGUCAGGCCAGGUGAAUUAAUAUAUUUCAUGGUCACUGAAAGACUGGCCCAGAAGGUCACUUUGAAGAAAAGAGUUAAAGGAACUAAUGUUCAUCUCUAAUAAGCAUAAUAAUUAUUCUAUACAGGUUGAUUAUCAACAUUCCAACAAAUACUGAAAAUGUCUAGAUUUCAACUAUCUGCCUACCCACACUCCACUGCUUCUGUUCUUCUUCCCAAGAAGUAUUUUCUCUGGUUCAUCUCCUCUCCUCUGCACAGUAUUGCAUGCCAAACAAGUUGGUAGACACCAUGACAAUUCCAGCUGCUACAGCCCUCUUCUUAAUCACCUCCUUACAUGAGGUUCCAGCAGCUUCUAGUUUCAAAGGCUACACAUUGAUGCAAUGAUCCUUUCACCUCUAGAGGAGGGCUUCUAGCUGCUAUCUUCAAAGCUACCCUUGUCUUCUCUCUUUGGAAGAAGUUUUGGUUGAAUCAUCUCAAUGAUCUUCAGGAAUCACAUAUUUGCUUCAGUUCCUUUCUACAGCGGCGUGAGUUCAGAAGAUUCAGUAGGUUUCCAGAUGUUGCAGUGUGGACUUCAGUGUUCUUCCUGGAAGACAAUCAUCACAUAGAAGAGUUCCAAAUAAUUUUGCAUAUGUGGGAAAGCCUACAGUGCACUUAAAAUUCUCUUAUCUUGAUUAGUAUGAUUUUCCUACUAACUUAAACUGUAACUGAAAUUUUUCAAUUAUUCCACAUUUUCUUACCAGCCCAUUGAAAUGGCAAUGGGUUUUAAAAGUAUGUGAGUGGAAAUUUGUUGAAGUGAUACUAUAGUUGCUUUGGGCCCUCUGAUAAGUUGUAACAUUUCCUCUGUUUUUUUAAGUGUAUCCUUUCCUUCAGAGUUUUUUAAAAUCUAUUUUGGUGCUAAGGGGGUUCCAUAAGUAUACAAGUAUGAAAGUUACCUAAUUUACAGAAAUAUUUGAUUUUUGUAAUGCUCCACACGGUCUCUCUCGUGAAAAUUCUAAUAAUAUUUGAUAUGUAUCUAUUUUGUGUUUAUCUCUCUAAACACAUGGCAUAUGCUUUAUAAAAUAAUCUAUUCUUUCAUAGCUAAGAAUAUUAUAUGUAAACAUCAUGGAUUAUUUUUAUAUAAUUCUUUCAUAAUUGAUAAGUAAAUCCAGUUUUUAUAUUCAGUUUUUACAUCAGUAAAUUAAUAAAUAACUCUAAUUGCCUUCUAUAAAGUAACAGGCUAUAAUGUAAAAGUAAUAUUGAAUUUUUUUAUAACUAUGCUUGUCAUUAGUUUAAAUUCCUGGAGAUUUUGUGUGAAACAGAAGAAAAAAGAUCUAUUUCUCAUUGAUAAACCUAUUGAAUCUAAACCGUACAGUGUGGCUUUUCUUCUUUAUUGGGAAAGUCAACACCAUUUUUUUUAUUUUUCCACCUUAACAUACUGAGAGACCACACACACACACACAUACACACACACACGCAUACCACUAUAAUGUUUGCAUGUUGUUGCUUGGCUUUUUGCCCCGUCUAGUCACCGCUCCCCCACAUUCUAGAAUAUGCAUAUUGUUAUUAAGAGAAGCCCACAUAUAAUCUCACCUGUAUAUUUCUCAAGGUGAAUGCUUUUAUGACAAACUAUUCAGUUGGCCCUAUUCAUAAUUGUGAAAGCUUUCAUUUCAAAAGUUGAAAUGAAAAAUGGGUAUGCCUAUUGCUGUGCUAUUGAUGACCCCUGUUUCAAG
rnacentral:lncRNA from 1 species